rnacentral:rRNA from 1 species
UGGGGAAUAUUGGGCAAUGGGCGCAAGCCUGACCCAGCAACGCCGCGUGAAGGAAGAAGGCCCUCGGGUUGUAAACUUCUUUUAUGAGGGACGAAGAAGUGACGGUACCUCAUGAAUAAGCCACGGCUAACUACGUGCCAGCAGCCGCGGUAAUACGUAGGUGGCAAGCGUUAUCCGGAUUUACUGGGUGUAAAGGGCGUGUAGGCGGGGAAGCAAGUCAGACGUGAAAUUCCAGGGCUCAACCUUGGAACUGCGUUUGAAACUGUUUUUCUUGAGUGUUGGAGAGGCAGGCGGAAUUCCGUGUGUAGCGGUGAAAUGCGUAGAUAUACGGAGGAACACCAGUGGCGAAGGCGGCCUGCUGGACAAUAACUGACGCUGAGGCGCGAAAGCGUGGGGAGCAAACAGG